rnacentral:rRNA from 1 species
GGUCAAGCGAAUAAGCGCACACGGUGGAUGCCUUGGCGGUCAGAGGCGAUGAAGGACGUGGCAGCCUGCGAAAAGUAUCGGGGAGCUGGCAACAAGCUUUGAUCCGGUAAUGUCCGAAUGGGGAAACCCACCCGCUUGCGGGUAUCCUGCAGUGAAUACAUAGCUGCUGGAAGCGAACCUGGUGAACUGAAAUAUCUAAGUAACCAGAGGAAAAGAAAUCAACCGAGAUUCCGUAAGUAGCGACGAGCGAACGCGGACUAGCCCUUAAGCUGAUUUGGUUCUAGGAAAACACUCUGGAAAGAGUGGCCAUAGAAGGUGAUAGCCCUGUAUCUGAAAGGGCCAUUUCAGUGAAGACGAGUAGGGCGGGGCACGUGAAACCCUGUCUGAACAUGGGGGGACCAUCCUCCAAGGCUAAAUACUACUGACCGACCGAU